CUGCCUGCCCACGCACCUUGGUGGGUCAGGAUGGCAUGCCAUGGGGCUCCCCCCCAGCGCCCCAGCAAGCUGUCCCAGGCAUGCUGGUGCGUUUUUCCAUGGCGUUGUGGGCAAUUCGACCGAGCCGUCUUCCAUGCCGAAUCCCGGUCGCACGCGGCCGGGUGCAGGCUGGUGCUUUGGCUUGGUGUCGUCCGGGCACGUAGGACUUGUCGGGGAUGCAUCAAGGGCUUCGACAGUUCCUCGCGGACCAACUCGG
rnacentral:lncRNA from 1 species